UACAGAGGGUGCGAGCGUUGUCCGGAAUCACUGGGCGUAAAGGGCGCGUAGGUGGCGACCCAAGUCGAUGGUGAAAGCUCGCCGCUCAACGGCGAGUCGGCCACCGAUACUGGGUUGCUCGAGCACUGUAGAGGCUAAUGGAAUUCCGGGUGUAGCGGUGGAAUGCGUAGAGAUCCGGAAGAACACCGGUGGCGAAGGCGGUUAGCUGGGCAGUAACUGACGCUGAGGAGCGAAAGCGUGGGGAGCGAACAGG
rnacentral:rRNA from 1 species